UUUUCGUUGGUGUAGUUGGAAAAAUUUUAGUUUCACAACUAAAAUAGGUCGUGGGUUCGAACCCCGUCAGGGAGAA